rnacentral:lncRNA from 1 species
CGGGCGCCAGGAGGGGGCUUCCCAGGGAUACUCUCUGGAAUCUUACCAUCCACAAGGCUACCUACAGGGACCUAAACAUCCUGUGUCCACAGAGCCUCCCAUGAAGAGCAAAGAGCCAGUUCAGCAGAUGGAUAGAGAAAACACUCCCCAAGGGUCACUGGACAGCAGUGCUACCACAAGGGAGACAGGGGGCCUGGGUCCCCUCCCUACCCCUGAGUAGAAACACUUCACUCAUAAUCCAGAUUCAGCUGUGAGCCCCUUGUUCUUUAUUUCCUCCUACCUCAAGCUCCAGAGGGAGAAAUUCUGCAGCAUCUCUAGGAGGGAGAGACGGAGUGGCUCUCAACUUGAGUGUGCAGCACAAUCACGUGCAGAGCUUGGUCAGCUGAUUGCUGGACACUACGCACAAGGAGCAUGCCUGGAUACACAGCUUAGGGACAAGAAACCUACGCUCACCAAGUGUCCACCAGCUCCUCGGCAAGGAGGGAGUAAAACGAAUUUUUUCUGCCACAACUUCUCUAGGCAUUUGUCUGGUCUUCUGCUGGAAAAUGUGGAUGUGGUUGUGAUCAUACUAGACCCUGGGAAUAAGGACAAACCUGAUGAAUGGUGAAGUGAGCAGAAAGAAAGUGGAUCCCAGAGGACUUUUCAGAGAGGAGCUUCCAGGCCAGCCCUAGGCUAUACAUCUGUGGACUUUGAAGCAAGAGAUAACUACUAUCUGUAUAAGGAACUUAGAUGGAAGCCAAAAGACCCAGCUGAUAUAUGAUGGAAUCCACGCUGCCCCCAGUGUACCACAGGAGAGGCAGAGCUGUCCUUUGCUGCUGGUGACUCAGUCCCUCCAAUGCCCCUCUUCGUCUUCCCCCUGUGUCAGGCUAUUGGAUCACUGCAGCACCCCCUGGAGCCCCGAAGCCAUGGCCUCACCACCACAGUGACGAUUUCAAAUGCCAGCUCUGGCUGAGGCUAAGGUUGCUGGCAUGAAAUCAAGUCUGCCAUUAGCACAAUGUCCAGGGAACAUUUGGGCAGCUAUCUGUCCCUCUCAGCCCAGGUACAUGGGGGUUAUGUUGA